CUUGCGCAGGAAAUCCGUGUCCGCUUCCUUGGUGGAUGAGUUACGCGCGGCCAUAAUACCCUCGUUCAUUUGCAGCAAAGAGAGAGCGAGAGAGAGGAAAUGGCGACGAUCAAGGCCAUUUGAGAGAGCAAAUGGCGGCGAUAAAGGUUAUUAUAGCUAGACAUAUCUUCGAUAGCUGUGGAAAUCGAAACAUUGAGGUGGAUGUUUGUCUAAGUGAUGGAACCCUAGCUAGGGCUGUUGUCACGAGUGGCGCCUUGACAGGUUCUAAAAUGUGAGUAUGCUGUCCGUGGAGAGAUUGUUAUCCAUACCCAGGUCUUCUUGGAGAUAUUUUCUCCCUAAUUCACAAUAUCUUGGAGGUACUUCCCAUCUGAAUUUAUGGCAUAUAAGCAAGUUGGUUUUCAUCAUGUGCUUCUAAAAAAGUUGUCUUAUCGUAUUGAUUUCAGACCAGGGUAUCGGUUGUUAUUGCUGGUGAAUGCUUGAGACUUCUGGUUUUCCUGAACACAAUGUCACAUGCAAGUGAAUGUCAGGAAGAUGUUAUGGGCGUGCUUGGUCAGUGGAAUUGAAUGGUAUUGAAUUGUAUUAGAUGGGAUUAACAUUAUUAUUGCACAAUAAUUGCAUGUCAGGAAAUAUCACGGUAUUGUAGCCACCUAAUACCAUAUUUGGGAUAAAAAUUUUGCUAGGGGAAAACACCGGAUUAAGCAAAAUCAUGUUUGGUGGACCAUUGAAUUGUAAUCAAUGGACCAAAUUCACAACGGGUGUUGUUCAA